CGAACUGGCCCACAGUAAAGACUCACAUAUGCAGCUGCAUGUAAAGUUUUUCUCUUUUCCGUCGGGAUAUUUUUUCUCUCACUCCGACUGAAUUCAUAUAAGAAGCUUGAGAUACCCUAUAUAAGGCGAUAAUUUUAAGCACGAUAUUAUUCUGACUCUUCCACAAGCCAUUAUGAAUAAAGCACUACUUCUCUUGCUCGUCAUCGGACUGUUUGUCCUUACCACCGAUGCAAUUCCUGUUGGUGUUCAACACCCCGCUGCCAUUGCCCGUCGUCGUCGGGGCUCAUGGAAAUGGGACCAAGUACAAGUUAAAGCCAGAAAUUAUCAAGACGAUUUGCAUAUGCUAUGGUAACAAUUUGCAUCUGCUAUGGUAAAAAAAUAACAACGAAAUACAUUUUUUUUGAAUAAAUGCAAGAAUAUUAUA